GGCGGCGUAGCUCAGCUGGCUAGAGCAUUCGGUUCAUCCCCGGAGUGUCACAGGUUCGACUCCUGUCGCCGCUACCA
rnacentral:tRNA from 1 species